AUGCAAAAUACUUUCACUAAAAUCCAUUACCAUUACCAAGUAUUUGAUACACAUUCCGAUUCUGAUUCCCAUGUACAAACCAAACGCACCCUUAGAAUAUGUGCAUUAGAG